rnacentral:rRNA from 1 species
UACGAAGGGGGCUAGCGUUGUUCGGAAUUACUGGGCGUAAAGCGCACGUAGGCGGGUCUUUAAGUCAGGGGUGAAAUCCUGGAGCUCAACUCCAGAACUGCCUUUGAUACUGAAGAUCUUGAGUUCGGGAGAGGUGAGUGGAACUGCGAGUGUAGAGGUGAAAUUCGUAGAUAUUCGCAAGAACACCAGUGGCGAAGGCGGCUCACUGGCCCGAUACUGACGCUGAGGCACGAAAGCGUGGGGAGCAAACAGG